ACUUCAUCUCGGCCUUUUGGCUAAGAGCAAGUGUAGUAUCUGUUCUUGUCAAUUUAAAUAGCACGAGAAAAGAAAGGAAAAUAACGGGCAUGCCCUCACACUCUUCAGACAAUAGGAGCCUCUUAACCUCUU
rnacentral:snRNA from 1 species